rnacentral:lncRNA from 14 species
CAACCAGUUCCCUAAUUUUUCUCUCUUAGUGUCCAAAGGAUAUAUCCACAGGCAUGUUUGCCCGUCUUCCCAGGCACUUUGGGAGAGUUGAUGUUGAUGGAGAAGAGUCUAGAGUGAAGCAAACGAAACCUAAAAGUAAUGAUGGACACAGGACGUGGUCAUGUGGAAUGUGGAAGGCCUGCAGACAGAAGUCAUCCCCUGAAACUGUCCUAAACAAGGUGCAGGCCAACAAGGAAGAGGAGAGGGUGAAUAGAGAGCUCGAGCCAACUACCAAGGAGAGAAAUGAGCUGACAGAUCGCCUCCUUUAUGUGACAGGUGGAUCCAUGAAAAAGAGGCCAAAUCCAUUUUAUGAAAAAUUGAAGAUAACGGUGUAUGAGCUCAUGUCAUUGCUGCACAACUUAGACAUAAAGAAUAUUGAACAUCAUGAGAAAAUUCAGGAGCUCAACAAGGAGAUUAACUUCUAUCGGUAAGUACUGGUCAGAA